rnacentral:rRNA from 1 species
CCUACGGGGGCAGCAGUGGGGAAUUUUGCGCAAUGGGCGAAAGCCUGACGCAGCAACGCCGCGUGGGUGAUGAAGGUCUUCGGAUCGUAAAACCCUGUCGUCAGGGACGAAGGUCAGGAGUUGAAUAGGCUCUUGGCUUGACGGUACCUGGAGAGGAAGCCCCGGCUAACUCUGUGCCAGCAGCCGCGGUAAUACAGAGGGGGCAAGCGUUAUUCGGAAUUAUGUGGCGUAAAGGGCGCGUAGGCGGUUUUUUAAGUGAGAUGUGUAAUCCCCGAGCUUAACUUGGGAACUGCAUCUCAGACUGGAAGGCUAGAGUGCGGGAGAGGGUGGUAGAAUUCCACGUGUAGCGGUGAAAUGCGUAGAGAUGUGGAGGAAUACCAGUGGCGAAGGCGGCCACCUGGACAGUAACUGACGCUGAGGCGCGAAAGUGUGGGUAGCAAACA